rnacentral:rRNA from 1 species
UUACUGAGUUUACGCUCUAUAACCCUUUGUGAACAUACCUAUAACUGUUGCUUCGGCGGGUAGGGUCUCCGUGACCCUCCCGGCCUCCCGCCCCCGGGCGGGUCGGCGCCCGCCGGAGGAUAACCAAACUCUGAUUUAACGACGUUUCUUCUGAGUGGUACAAGCAAAUAAUCAAAACUUUUAACAACGGAUCUCUUGGUUCUGGCAUCGAUGAAGAACGCAGCGAAAUGCGAUAAGUAAUGUGAAUUGCAGAAUUCAGUGAAUCAUCGAAUCUUUGAACGCACAUUGCGCCCGCCAGCAUUCUGGCGGGCAUGCCUGUUCGAGCGUCAUUUCAACCCUCAAGCUCUGCUUGGUGUUGGGGCCCUACAGCUGAUGUAGGCCCUCAAAGGUAGUGGCGGACCCUCCCGGAGCCUCCUUUGCGUAGUAACUUUACGUCUCGCACUGGGAUCCGGAGGGACUCUUGCCGUAAAACCCCCAAUUUUCCAAAGGUUGACCUCGGAUCAGGUAGGAAUACCCGCUGAACUUAAGCAUAUCAAUAAGCGGAGGAAAAGAAACCAACAGGGAUUGCCUCAGUAACGGCGAGUGAAGCGGCAAC